UACAGAGGGUGCAAGCGUUAAUCGGAAUUACUGGGCGUAAAGCGUGCGUAGACGGUUAUUUAAGUCAGGUGUGAAAGCCCAGGGCUCAACCUUGGAAUUGCAUUUGAGACUGAAUAGCUAGGGUGCGGAAGAGGGAAGCGGAAUUUCCGGUGUAGCGGUGAAAUGCGUAGAUAUCGGAAGGAACACCAGUGGCGAAAGCGGCUUCCUGGUCCAGCACCGACGUCAGGCACGAAAGCGUGGGGAGCAAACAAG
rnacentral:rRNA from 1 species